GCACCAUUUGCUCAAUGGCAGAGCGGCGGCUUCUAACCCCGUGAGUGCCGGUUCGAUUCCGGCAUGGUGCACCG
rnacentral:tRNA from 1 species